rnacentral:lncRNA from 1 species
UUUUUUUUUUUUUUUUUUUUGUCAAACGAUAGAUUUUGUUAGAUUAGAUGUUAGAUUAGCCACCAGAGGGGUUUGAACCCACACACCGUCAUGCAAGGGCUCAACACCUUUCCACCACUGUAGUAUAAGGCCACUAGCACACUUUUUCCACUCUAAGACUAGUGCAAUCUAACUUAGGUUGCAUACAUUAGUCUCAACCACAAUUCAUAAGAAUUUCAUAUCCUUGCCAUUUAUUUAUUAGAAGCAGAUUAAAUUUGACAUAAGUUUCUGUAUGUUACUUUAAAAUUUGAUUGAAACGCCCAUUCUGAAAUGAGACACACUUGAAGGAAAAAAAAAAAGAGUUAACUUUAAUAUUUAAAAGUUAAAACUAAAAUGAAGAGGGAGGGGCGGAAGACAACUAAAAAACCUUACCUCCAGAAUGGUGUAAAUAGGCACUGUAGUCUCUCCAUCAAUGACAACACUCUUAAGAAGUGAACUGUGACGACGACCAUAGGCAAGUAAUAUAUGCUCUGACGUAGGAGAGAACUGCCACAAAAAUCAAGGAAUAACAAAAUGGAAUAAGUGUACAAUGAAAAUACAAAUUCUUUGCUUGAUCAAAAAGAAAUAUAAAGGAAAAAAAAAACUUCAAAUGAUUAGGUCAUGAAUCUUUUGCAUAUAAAAAAAAUUAUCAAUUUAUUGCUUAUUUGUUCUAAUCAUAAUGGCAGUGCAUUGGAAAUCUAAGUCAUAUACCAUCAGCUGUUGGAUUGAAUAUUGAAACAACAUGAUCACACAUCAACAAUACAAGGCAAACUAUAACAGAUUCCCCAUACAUAUAACAUACCUAUGUAUGUAUGUGUUUAUAUACCGCUACAUAACAACACCAUGCUUCAACUUUAGAUUUUCUGGUGGCAUAUGCCUUUUAAAGAGGUCGCACUUGGUGCGAUGGCAAGUGCCUUCGCCCAUGAGCGGUAGGUCUCGGGUUCGAGACUUGGGAGCAGCCUCUCCAUAAAUGGGGGUAAGGCUAGCCGACAUUCACCUCUCCCAGACCCUGCGUAAAGCGGGAGCCUUGUGCACUGGGUACGACCUUUUAUAUGCCUUUUCAAAAAUAUAUGCAAAUGCAACUUACUACAUUCUAUCCGCAAAUGCAAUUUAUUACAUUCUAAGCACAUAACAGAUAUCUUAUCAUAACUCCUGAGUCUCUAACUCAACUAAAGCUAAGCUGAGCAUUGGCAUGAAUUAUUGAGCUCUUAUGCUGAGAUUUCAAGGGAUGCACUCCAUAUGGGGCUACUAACCUUAGUUUUCAGUUAAAAUGAAACAUUUAAGUUUCCACUAUAGAUUUUCUUUAGUCUUAGGGAAAACAGUUAAACAAGUAAAGAAUGGUUGGAAAAUCAAUGAGAAACUAAUGAUUAAGAUGAACCAAUAAGUCAAACAUCUUCAAAAUGUAGCUGACCUGAAUAGAUGUUAGGCAGUGGGCAGCUCUUAUUGCCCGGGAUGCAAGAACCGUUCCAAAUCUAGAUAAAUAAAAGAAAAUCAGGCUGUAGAAAGAAGGAAAAUGCAUAUGGAAAGCUAAAAGAGAGGUAAGAAAAGAUAACACAUAUUAUAGGGAGUUAAAGGUUUACGUUGCUUCCUCAAGGGAAUAUAUCCGGAGCUCAUACACGACAUGGUGAGCUGAUAUUGGAUGUCGAGUUGGGGAAGUUGAUGCCCCUGUCACGUCAUGGUUGACCUGGCUCUGCAAUCCAAGAUCAGCUUCCAUAUGGGGUAACAUACAUGCAACACAUGCAGCUAAAAACCUUCCGCAAGGGGAAAAAUGGGCACCCAUCUCACUGAAACAAAUUAUCAAAGUAAAAAUCCAAAAAGAUAUGGCCAGUAAUACUAUUAAAGUCCAAACAACCAUGCAAUGCUGAAGGAGAGAAAGAAAAGAAAAAAUAGCCAAACAUUUCAUGAUCAUCUACUAAUCAAAUAUUUGUUUGAAAAAGGUGUAGAUCCAGUGAAAACAAACUGCCUUUGACAAAAAAAAAAGUAUACACAAACUACCAACUGAUGUUGCAUCCUUUAUGAAUGUACUGGUUUUGCAAGACUUACGAAUAAGCUAAAAGCAAUGUAAAAGUAAAUAAAGCAAUAAAGUACCAUGAAAGUUUAGAACAGAAAGAAAACUACCUACAAAGUACAGCAUGUGGAAUGGUUAAGCGACAUCUUUCUGCAUCAAGGGGAGAACAAGGAUUUUUCAAAUCAUGUGGCCAAAUUCUGAGCUUCACAGUGCAAGGCAACUCUGCAGCUGCUGCUGCAGCGAGUGAGUUGGCAAGUUCAGAUUGGAUUCUGCUCACAACAGGUUGAGGCUCACUUUCAGCAUGCGGAAUACUAUUGAAUCCAGCACCUUCAUUAGAUCCAAUUGUCGACACCAUAUGAGUUCUUGAAGUACGAUGCCGGGUACUAGAUCUUCCAGUAACCCUGGAUUGGUUCACACCGGUUGGUAUUACUGAAGAAGUUAUGGCUGGAUUAUCCAUCUCACCAUGUGCAGAUGGAUUAUCUUGGGUAGCAUCACUUACCGGCCGCAUAUUCCGUUGGCUAGCUUGGGUCUGACCAAUUAACCACCCUUGCAAGAAAGGAAGUUCCCAAUAUGUUGAGUCACCAAAUGGGAAAAUAUGAUUGCUCCUCCCUUCAGGCUGCACUUCCAUAGCCUCUAAACUGUCCACUGCAGGUUGAGAAACUUCAGUUUCCAUUUCAUUCAAGAAAGUAUUAGUUUCUGUCUCUUCUGGUGCUGGAGAAGAGCUACUAGGUUCAAUUGGGGACAGCAGAAGUUCAUACUGCCCUGAAGGAGUUGAAUAUGUUAGCAAGCGCACUGAAGCAGAAGGAUCAACUCGCUGUAGCGCACUACUUGAACCAAUGUCCACGUUACUACGCUGCAUAGAUAUUCUCCCAUUAUCUCUAUCAAAUGAAGGCCAUAUCAGAAAUGGUAAAGACAUAAGAGGUAGUCCAUCUACCAAACCAGAACGAUCACUAGAUUGACCAUCUGCCAAAUAUACAGUAGGUGGAGGAUAGCGCAAAUAACCCAGAGAAGUUGCAAGUGUCAUCGAGGAAUCUGAGGAGUCAAGGUCAUUCACCUACAAAUAAGAAAAAGACAUGAUUAAAAUAUAUUUAAUCAAAGAAACGAUUAAUAUUUGUAACAAACAAAGAAACAGAAAAAUGACUACCCAAAAACUUACCUCAGCAGUUAAAAGGAAAGGAGCUCCAUGAGGGUGAAAAUGCACAGCCCGGAGCGAACGCCGUGUCUUCAGUACUAUGGUUGGGGAGGAUGUUUCCCCUCUCCUAUUGUAGUGCCAUAUGUACAACUAAUGCAAGAUUUAAUGGUUAAGGCCAUUAAUAAGAAUUGUGCAUCGGUAGUUAAAAUUUCCAAAUAAAAAAACUUACCUUGUGACCUGACGCAACUGCAAGCAGCUCACCUUGGGCAUGGAAAGCUAUGGAAGCAAUAGGACGCACUGUGUGGAGAAAAAAGCACUAAAAAUCAUAUCCAUGACACAAACUUAAUAAAAAAAGAAUAAAGUGUUUGUUUUAAUGAUUGAUAAUCCACAUUAAAACUUACAGAAAUCACGAGAUCCUAAACACUCUGCCGUUUUUGCAUCCCACAAGCGAACUUCGUGAUCCAAACUUCCACUAGCCAAUAUGUCUGGAUACAAGGGAUGAAACCUAACCUGCAAAAGCACAACCAGCUGGUGAGAAAAGCACAGCAAGCUAAUGAAAUGUAUCCAGUAGCUAUGCUUAAGUGUCAGAUCUGGUAACCAGCAAGUUUGUUUAUGAAUAAAACAACUAGAUUAAAGCGGCAACAUCAACAAAAAGUUUAGGAUAACACAACCCAAAGACUUUUGAUGAAAGCAUAAAACUUCUUGCAGAGAGAAUUUUAGCAUCCUAAGCAUAGAUUGUAUUCUAAGAAUAUGGAUGAAAAAUAAGCUUCAAUGUUUCACUAAAUCUCUUGAGGUUCUGUUUACAAAAUUGUUCACGGCAUCUUGCAGCAAGCUGAAGCAAGAAGCUAACAAUCAAAGUCAAGUAUUCUAACAAAACAAAAAAUUUCAGAGUCAAAAUAUCGAGUGUUGUAGACUUACCACCCACGGUGUCCUACGGUGACCACUCAAGACCUUUAAGCAAAUCCCAGUUUGGCAAUCAAUAAUCUUAACCGUAUGGUCUCCGCUGCAGUUACAGUUGCAAUUGAAAUUUAAUAAAUGAUACAAUCUUAGAAUAAAUAUAACUCAACACUAAGCUUUAGCCAAACCCUACACCAGGCCAAGAUAUAUAUACAUAGCAGGACUUACUGAGUUGAGGCCAGUGUCCUUCCAUCAGGGCUGAAGGCUGCUGCAAUAGUUGACCGUGGAGGAGGCACAAGCGGACAAUAUUUGGCAGACAAAUGCUGGAGUGACUCUGCCUCCACCCUGAAGGCAAUUCAAUAUCAAGACAAACCAUGAAUAGGAAGAUCUAACCGAAUGCAAAAUAAUUCAAACAACUAGGAAAAAAAACAGUUUGCUUCUGUUUUGUUGCAAGAAAAUAAAGAGAGAACGACUAAAUGAAUUGGCAGGUUACCAUGAGAUAAGGCUGUGUCUAGCAUCUCUAGCUGCUUCAAACUUUGGGCCAACGGAAUCAGAAUUAGACUUAGAAGGUUCCCCCCAUAGCUUCUUUGACCAAUGUUUCGUCUGCGGAGAAACCUCUCUCUGUGCUAACAGUCUCAGAACAUUGCUACCACUGCCAGUUAACAUCAGAUGCGUGCAAAUCAGUUUCAAAUCCAAAAUCAGUCCCAAUAAAUAUUCCAAUCCGAAUUUACAAAAUCAACACCGAAACCAUUUCCCAAAGCACGAAGAGUACUUAAAAUAACAUCAACCAAAAACAAUACCUCGGUACCUCCUCAAUCUAAAAAAAAAUUCUUCCUAAAUUCGAACCAAUUUCGAGAAUAGCAAAUCAAUUGAAAACCCAAUUCGGAUUGGAACUAAUUCAAUUAUGAUCACCAUGCAAAAACCACAACGUCAAAGCAUGAACACAUAUAAUUUGCAAAAGCAUUAAACCACAAGGCACCAAUUUGGUAACUGAAUUACACAAAAACUCAUCGAACUCCCACCAAUAUUCAACAACAAAGUCCAAGAUUCACCUGUGCUUGCACGGAUUGGGCUGAGGUACGCGCGGGACAGAGGUGAACGGAGAAUUGGGCUCGUCGGCCCACAAAGAACCUGCCCUCAUAAUUUUCCCGGGAAAAUGUCAUAAUCUCAGCUUUUCCGGCAUUCUACGGGUAAAUUCAAAUUGAUAGCUUAAAAAUCCAGUCAAAUUUUCACAUGCAGAUCAUGACGCCGUGGAAAGUGUAAAUUGAAUAGCAGGGGCGUUAGAAUCGAACUGAAUUGAACUGAGCUGGGGGGGUGGAUUCGGUUUCGGCGACCGCGACGUAGGGCGGUGGGGGAGCGAGGCGGCGAGAUCUCCGGUCGGCGGGGAGGGGAAAUUGGGAGGGGAGAGUGUCCGAGCCUCUGUGCGUGUGGCCGUGGAAUUUGGAUUUGGAAAAUUCCGUCUUGGGUUUCUCUGAUGGGCAUUGGACAGAGGAGGGAGAGGAGGGGGGUUGCUAGGCGGCUAGGAACCUAGGGGAAGUUGUUUGUUGGACGACAAUGCCCUUGGCCUUGUGACCUCAGCUGUGGUGUCGUGGAGUGUCAACGGCACGCGUUUUGAAUUUUGUCAAACGAGGUUGUAAGGUACCGUUUGGUAUGCAGACGAGACGGAAUCAAACCGGACGGGAUGAGAUGGGACGGGACAAAAUAGAUGUUCCGUGUUAUGUUUGGUAUGCGUAGGACGGAACGGAAUUGUUGUUCCAUUCUGCGUUUGGUAACCGCAUGAACGGAACAGAAUCAAAAGGUAAAUGACUAAAUUAUCCAUGUUCUAUCUGUUGUUUGGUACAACAUUUAUGUAUGGUACGGGACGGGACAAUUAUUUUUUAUUUUUUUAUUUUUUUAACUUUUUCAUAUUUGAACACAUAUAUACUUAUUCAUUAUUUGUUUUUCUCCCAUGAACUAACCUUAUAUUGAGAUAAGCAUUUCUACCGUUCUAGUAGAAGCAAGCAUGCACAUAAUUGCUUCCUAGAAAGGCAGUCCCAAGAGAGGUGAACAACCAAGUUAAACCAAAUUAUAGCAUAAAUCACGGAUACAGCAAUGGAAAACAUAGAUAAUUCGAUUGGAUUCAUUUUGUUUGGCAAAAUAUGCUGCUUCAAAAGCGACACUAGAUAGUAAAAGUGAAAACAGGUAAUAAAAACUGAAAAUUUACUCGAGGAACUGCAGUAAAAUGGCAAAAUCAAACAAAUUGGUAGAACUUCAUGUCGUCUAAGAUGACUAGAUUAGUAAAAUUCUGAAUAAAAUUCAACAGUACCAAAUCGAAAACAAAAGUAGCAUCCUGAAUAAAAUUUCUCCCAAAAUUCUGACACAUAGCCAAUGUUGGAUAUCAAUGCACAUCCCUUGAACUUUCGCCUGACACGUGAAUCAAUACCCUUGGGCCUUCUCCAGCUUUCCU